rnacentral:rRNA from 1 species
UACGAAGGGGGCUAGCGUUGCUCGGAAUCACUGGGCGUAAAGGGUGCGUAGGCGGGUCUUUUAAGUCAGGGGUGAAAUCCUGGAGCUCAACUCCAGAACUGCCUUUGAUACUGAAGAUCUUGAGUUCGGGAGAGGUGAGUGGAACUGCGAGUGUAGAGGUGAAAUUCGUAGAUAUUUCGCAAGAACACCAGUGGCGAAGGCGCUCACUGGCCCGAUACUGACGCUGAGGCACGAAAAGCGUGGGGGAGCAAACAGG